rnacentral:rRNA from 1 species
UUUAUGGAGAGUUUGAUCCUGGCUCAGGAUGAACGCUGGCGGCGUGCCUAAUACAUGCAAGUCGAGCGAACAGAUAAGGAGCUUGCUCCUUUGACGUUAGCGGCGGACGGGUGAGUAACACGUGGGUAACCUACCUAUAAGACUGGAAUAACUCCGGGAAACCGGGGCUAAUGCCGGAUAACAUGUUGAACCGCAUGGUUCUACAGUGAAAGACGGUCUUGCUGUCACUUAUAGAUGGACCCGCGCCGUAUUAGCUAGUUGGUGGGGUAACGGCCUACCAAGGCGACGAUACGUAGCCGACCUGAGAGGGUGAUCGGCCACACUGGAACUGAGACACGGUCCAGACUCCUACGGGAGGCAGCAGUAGGGAAUCUUCCGCAAUGGGCGAAAGCCUGACGGAGCAACGCCGCGUGAGUGAUGAAGGUCUUCGGAUCGUAAAGCUCUGUUGUUAGGGAAGAACAAAUGUGUAAGUAACUGUGCACAUCUUGACGGUACCUAACCAGAAAGCCACGGCUAACUACGUGCCAGCAGCCGCGGUAAUACGUAGGUGGCAAGCGUUAUCCGGAAUUAUUGGGCGUAAAGCGCGCGUAGGCGGUUUUUUAAGUCUGAUGUGAAAGCCCACGGCUCAACCG